GACGAACGCUGGCGGCGUGCCUAAUACAUGCAAGUAGGACGCAGUUGCGAACGGGUGAGUAACGCGUAGGUAAAUACCUCUUAGAGAGGGAUAACUAUUGGAAACGAUAGCUAAUACCGCAUACUAGUAGAUGGACCUGCGUUGUAUUAGCUAGUAGGUAGGGUAAUGGACUACCGAGACAACGAUACAUAGCCGACCUGGGAGGGGCAGCGUGCACGCCGGGACGAGGGCGCGGCCCAGACCCCUACGGGAGGCAGCAGUAGGGAAUCUUCAGCAAUGGGUGUAACCGUGACCUAGCAACUCCGGGUGAGUGAAGAAGGUUUUCGGAUCGUAAAGCUCUGUUGUUAAGGAAGCGGUACUUAACCAGAAAGGGACGGCUAACUACGUGCCAGCAGCCGCGGUAAUUC
rnacentral:rRNA from 1 species